GCUGUAGAAGACAGAAACCAGCAGGCUGUUUUGAAUGGACCAGCAUAACAAUAUGCAAAUGCAUAUGCAAACCUUCCCCACUUACAGCUACAUAUAGAGAAAUAUCAGCCUCGGUCACUGUGGGCUCUGGAGAAUUUAGCACUGCUUUUAGUUAAACGAUGUUCCUUCCAUUUUUGCUGCUGCUGGCAGCUUCAUCCUAUGUGGAAUGUGCAGUAGAACUCACUCAGGUCACCUCAGUGAUGUUAAAGCCAGGAGACUCUUUAACCCUCAGCUGUAAAGUAUCCGGCUACUCUGUAACUGAUAACAGCUACGCCACAGCUUGGAUUCGACAACCUGCAGGGAAAACUCUGGAGUGGAUAAACCACAUUUGGGGUGGUGGAAGUAUUUAUAAUAAAGAGUCUCUAAAAAGCAAGUUCAGUAUUUCUAAAGAUGACUCCAGCAGCACGGUGACUCUGAGAGGACAGAAUCUGCAGACAGAAGACACAGCUGUGUAUUACUGCGCCCGUAUACACACACUGAUGCUUCUACUUAGCUGUCAAUACAAAAACACAUGCAUGCUGUAGUCACAAACUGACCUCAUAGUUUCAUCAUCAGUGUAUUAGAACUAAGGAAACAUUGAGACUAAUACUGAACUCUGUGACUUUCCUCUAUAUUUAAAAUCUGUUUAAGUGGAAUGUCUACAAUACAAGUCUUGUGUAAGUUGUUAAUUAACACAUUCUGACUAAUCAGAUUGGAGAAUUCAACAGUACUGUGGUGUAAGUGUAUUUAAUAUCUUUAACUUUUUGUGAAGCUUCUUUAGUUUGUUCUUUAAAUGACAUUAGAGAAGCACACUUCACAGAGAGUGAAGAACAAACUCCAUCAUAAAGACACGGUUAUAAAUGACUUCAUUUACCACUGAUACUGUAUCUGAGUGCUUUCUCUCUUUUAAACAAAUACGUGGUGAUACAAAAGCUCCAAUUAGGAAUUCAUACUUUCAUAGUUUGUAUCGCCG